GCCGCCAGUUAUUGGGGACGUUUCGAAGGACGCUAAUACCGCAUACGUCCUACGGGAGAAAGCAGGGGACCUUCGGCGCUUGGGCUAUCAGAUGAGCCUAGGUCGGAUUAGCUAGUAGGUGAGUGUAAUGGCUCACCUAGGCGACGAUCCGUAACUGGUCUGAGAGGAUGAUCAGUCACACUGGAACUGAGACACGGUCCAGACUCCUACGGGAGGCAGCAGUGGGGAAUAUUGGACAAUGGGCGAAAGCCUGAUCCAGCCAUGCCGCGUGUGUGAAGAAGGUCUUCGGAUUGUAAAGCACUUUAAGUUGGGAGGAAGGGCAGUAAGUUAAUACCUUGCUGUUUUGACGUUACCAACAGAAUAAGCACCGGCUAACUUCGUGCCAGCAGCCGCGGUAAUACGAAGGGUGCAAGCGUUAAUCGGAAUUACUGGGCGUAAAGCGCGCGCAGGUGGUUCAGCAAGUUGGAGGUGAAAUCCCCGGGCUCAACCUGGGAACUGCCUCCAAAACUAUUGAGCUAGAGUACGGUAGAGGGUAGUGGAAUUUCCUGUGUAGCGGUGAAAUGCGUAGAUAUAGGAAGGAACACCAGUGA
rnacentral:rRNA from 1 species